rnacentral:rRNA from 1 species
GUGUCAGCCGCCGCGGUAAGACGAACCGUGCGAACGUUGUUCGGAAUCACUGGGCUUAAAGGGCGCGUAGGCGGUUGGUCAAGUCAGGGGUGAAAUCUUUCGGCUCAACCGGAAAACUGCCUUUGAUACUGACUGGCUGGAGGGAGAUAGGGGUUGCGGGAACUACCAGUGGAGCGGUGAAAUGCGUUGAUAUUGGUAGGAACGCCGGUGGCGAAAGCGCGCAACUGGAUCUCUUCUGACGCUGAGGCGCGAAAGCUAGGGGAGCAAACGGGAUUAGAAACCCUUGUAGUCC